AGCGAACGCUGGCGGCAGGCUUAACACAUGCAAGUCGAGCGGGCGUAGCAAUACGUCAGCGGCAGACGGGUGAGUAACGCGUGGGAACAUACCUUUUGGUUCGGAACAACACAGGGAAACUUGUGCUAAUACCGGAUAAGCCCUUACGGGGAAAGAUUUAUCGCCGAAAGAUUGGCCCGCGUCUGAUUAGCUAGUUGGUGAGGUAACGGCUCACCAAGGCGACGAUCAGUAGCUGGUCUGAGAGGAUGAUCAGCCACAUUGGGACUGAGACACGGCCCAAACUCCUACGGGAGGCAGCAGUGGGGAAUAUUGGACAAUGGGCGAAAGCCUGAUCCAGCCAUGCCGCGUGAGUGAUGAAGGCCCUAGGGUUGUAAACCACUGUCGGGAGGGACGAAUGCGCCGCAAGGCGAGUGACGGUACCUCCAAAGGAAGCACCGGCUAACUCCGUGCCAGCAGCCGCAGUAAG
rnacentral:rRNA from 1 species